CACCGCGGUUAUACGAGAGGCCCAAGCUGACAGCCAUCGGCGUAAAGCGUGGUUAAAUAAACAAGCAAAAUAAAGCCGAAUGUUUCCUCAACUGUUAUACGUACUCGGAAGCUAGAAACCCCUCUACGAAAGUAGCUUUACCAUUAUUGAACCCACGAAAGCUAAGACA
rnacentral:rRNA from 1 species